GUUCACUGUAGACCUUUGUAAGCCUGUGUCCUUUCCUUUUAUCUACCCCUGCCUCCUUUGUCUUCCUAGGAGCACAUUUGAGCUUCUACUCGAAUCUACAUCUCCUGAAUUGCAAUUCUUGAGACCCCCAAAUAAACUUUUUGGUUCUUUUGCAGUUUAUGCCUCUUAUUUGCUGACUUUACAUGGUGACAGAAGUGGGAUCCCUAGCUACUGACCUUCAAUUCUGGUGCCACUUCACAGACACAAGCAAGGUGCCUGCAAAGAAUCUUUUGUGCUCUGUCGUCUCCUCCUGGUGGCUCUGGUUCCUGGUGAUUGGUUGCAGACAAUGCUACAGGCAUCAGGAAUGGCGGAGCCAAGAGACGGGAAGUCAUGGGUGACUGACACACCCUGUGGAAGAGAACCACCUGCCCAACACGAAACCCACCUUGGCCUGUAAGGUUUCUCAAGAACUUGCUCCCAGAAAAAACCUGGAUGGAGAACAAAACAGCCUCGCGUUUCCUCUACCUCCCUGAGCAAAAGGAAACAGGAAGCAAAGUCUAGUCUUGAAUGUUCCAAAGCCUUAUGAUGUUUACCAUUCCCCCCAGGAGAGGAAGAAAGUUAGCAGUGGGGAAGGAACUCGGGGCUGCAACAGCGCGCGGCUGCAGAGGCUGAAGCAGGAGCCGCGGCG
rnacentral:lncRNA from 1 species